AUUGAACGCUGGCGGCAGGCCUAACACAUGCAAGUCGAGCGGAGGAAGGGAGCUUGCUCCUGGAUUCAGCGGCGGACGGGGGAGUAAUGCCUAGGAAUCUGCUUGGUAGUGGGGGAUAACGGGCGGAAAGGGGCGCUAAUACGGCAUAAGGCCUGAGGGAGGAAGUGGGGGAUCUUCGGACCGCACGCUAUCAGGUGAGCCUAGGUCGGAUUAGCGAGUUGGUGGGGUAAAGGCCUACCAAGGCGACGAUCCGUAGCUGGUCUGAGAGGAUGAUCAGUCACACUGGAACUGAGACACGGUCCAGACUCCUACGGGAGGCAGCAGUGGGGAAUAUUGGACAAUGGGCGAAAGCCUGCUCCAGCCAUGCCGCGUGUGUGAAGAAGGUCUUCGGAUUGUAAAGCACUUUAAGUUGGGAGGAAGGGCAGUAAGUUAAUACCUUGCUGUUUUGACGUUACCAACAGAAUAAGCACCGGCUAACUUCGUG
rnacentral:rRNA from 1 species